rnacentral:lncRNA from 7 species
GGGCCCUCAAAAAUGUUAGUUCAAAAAUGAAUAGGAAUAGGGUCGGAUCUUAAUCUGAUUUGAUCCUUACAGUUUGUAGUGUAAAAUCUAGAGCCCAUUACCACCCCUAUGCACCCCCUCUCCAUGAUCCAGCACCCGGGAAAAUCACAAAGGAAGAGAAGCAGUGAGGAGAUCGAGAGAGCCGUCGCACGUAGAGAGAAGGGAGGAGUCUCGGAUCGGUGGGAGGAGACAGUGGCAUCGUGGCCUGGGGUCGUGCCUUGUGCUCGUGGGGUCAUCCGUCUCGCGCCGCGAAUUCCCAGCGGUUUGCCGGCCGAAGUCAACCAUUAGCACUUCGGGGGCGCUCGUCGGGGUUGGCAGUUGUCGCCGCACCGUGGAUCGGGUCGCUCAACAUCUCUAUUGCCGUUACGAAUAGCAGUGAGGUCACGAGAACCUGAAGAUCAUCCUGGUACCUAGAAUCUUGAGUCUCAGGUCAAGAACAAGUACCACAGGAUGAGGCGCAUGGAGGAUACUGUGAUGAGUUAGUGAGAGGUCUAGGUCAUCGUCUCCCAGUCAACUUUGGGUUGUUGAAUCGUUGUCUUCGUAUGAUGUAAUUAUUUAACUAUUCUGUAUAGAACUCCUAUUAUAUAGUAAUGAUGUGACAUUCGUU